CGCGCAGGCCUUAUUACCAUAAUCUGCCUGGCAACAAGCCGCGGCGUCGCGCGCUGAUUGGCUGAAACUCCUCCGCCAGCCAUGAAGGGGCACAGAACUCCUCAAGGAAAGGCUCGGAGCGCCCAGCACCUAUAGAAGAUGACUAAGGUUCAUCUAGAGAUGGCAUCCUGAGAGUAUUCAAAAAUACAGGUCAGCAGGUAAGUUCAAGAGGACAAGGCAGACCUUAGUCCAAAAUUAGAAUCACAUUUGCAUGUCAUGAUGUAGGCUGGUAAUAAAUGUAAGAAAGAAAUCUAUUAAUAAUUAAUAAAAUUAAUAAUUAAUAACUAGUCAAGAGCAAUAGCACAGAUUCAAAAUCCAUAGCCAGUUACAGUUGAUACUAAACUAAAACUCAAUACUCCUCUAGAAUUACUCAGACAAGGAGUGAUGGCCCUGAGCUUGGCUUAAAUUGGACUCCUGGGCUUAUGGGAGAGGUGGGCCCAAGUGAAGCUGCUGAGGAUCAGGAGGCUUUAUUAGUGACCUCUGAAGUCUAACUUGGAGCUAUACUGCUGUUUGGGUGCUGAAGGUAGCUCUUAGUCCCAAUUUAACCAUGAAUUCUUGGAGAAAUUGGUUUGGCUUUUUUUCAUAAAGGUCUAAUUUGAGACUGUUUUAAAUCUAAUAUUUAUAUCAUUGCUGUAUUUGUUAACAGCUUAUAGGACUGCUGCUGAAAGAAAAAUACAGUUGUGGUUGGCUUUUUUAUCUUAAUUUUGAGCCUUUACUUACCAUGGUCUUCAGUCCUUCUUUAAUUUUUUAUCAUAACAUGCUAAAAAUUAGGUCUUUGGAAAGAAAAAUGCUGCUGACAUUUUCUUACAGCAUUCUGGGUUUUUAAGUGGAAGAACCCACCCUCAUAGCAUGUGGAUGGGUUGUGUUUCUUGUCACUACCUUGGGGACUGGGGAUUCCUGUGUGAGUCCUGACCCUGCAGCAGGUGCUGUCUGAGCAGACCCUGGGGACUGCAUUCAAAGUAUUUUUGCAGCGUGGUUCUGUCUUGGGCUGAAAAAUCUAACCAAAAAUGUGUGUUCUAUUUUCAUCUGUUGAAACCCAUUGGGAGAUAUUGUUCUUCUCUCCUCCUCCACCCAUCCUCCACCAAGGGACAUCACCUGUGAAUGGGCCAUUGAAGGCCUCUCACAUGACUGAUAACAUCACCUCAUUCCAUUGGGAGAUGCUGCACCCAGUGGGAGGAGCCAAAGCCUUUCCACCCGGAUAAAACCUGCAAUCCCAAACACUAAUGCAGCUGGUUUUCUACUGAAUCCUUGGAGGAAGACUGGACCCAUCUCGCCAGCACUGGACCCUUUUCUCUACAGGAUCAUCUUUGCUUCACAGAACAACAUCUGUUACUCUAGGAAGAUUUAUCUGGACUGCUUCCAACACGCUGACAACAGGGUGUCAGAUCUAGGAUUUCACUGAAGUCAGUCUAACAAAAAAAAAAAAAGAGAACAGAGGCUGGAGAACUUGGACAGUUUGCAGUGUGCAGAAAAACAUGGAAACAAAAGAAGGGCAAACCCAGAAAGUCUUAUUCUUGUACAGACAAGAGGGAAAGCUUGAAAUAAGGCUUGUCCUUCCCAGUCGACAAAGAACUGGCAAAUGAGUCUAUCAUCCUGCUGUAUUUUCAAUGAAGACCAGGCUGCUACUCAGAAAUGACCCUACAGCUCCUUCCCAACAUUGAGUCUUGUGAUAGUGCCGAAGGACAAAGCUGCAGGUCCUCUGUCUCCAGAUGGCCUUCUGCCACAGCUGUGAGCCUUAGCUUAUUUAAGUUGGAAUGGUUUGGAUGCCUUGAUACAUGAACGACUGAUUCUGCCAUCUUCACAGGUUAAAUGUCACUUCAGUCUUCACAGGUGGACUAGAAGAGAUAAAGAAAACAGCAUGCCAUUGCAGGAAGAUGUGUGUCACCAAGCCAGAGGAUGAGAGUUCACUAAAUAUUUUUUGCAAAGCAGCAUCUCCUUCCUCUUUCCCCACCGCGUUUUCACUGUGCCUUUACUUGUAGACCUCUCGACCCCCAGUCUUUUGAGUUCUCUGUGUCAGGUUCAAUGUUGGUGUUCAGUUCCUUGGAGAAGCAUCAAGCAUUGCUCUGCCUUGAGAUCCUGCCAGUGCUCAAAGCCUCGGAUCCAUCUGGAGAGAGAAAAUGAGCAGCAUAAAUUCCCAGUUUGUGUAUUAGCUAAAAAGGUGGUUAGUCUCUGCUGUUUCUGCAUUUGGGACCCUCAUUCUGAGUAUGAGCUCAUUAUUUUAUUGAAUUAUAUAUCAGAAGUAAUUUCUUUUCCUGGGAAGUGAAUCCUGCAUAUGUGCAAUUCUAUUCCAAAAUGGAUUCCUUGUGUCUCUCAGGCAUUGCUUUUGCCUUGGAGAGUCUUCAGAAAAACAAAUUGUCCAGUUAAGUUCACCAUUGGUUUUGGCCCUCGUCUAGAAAUGAGAGGAGAUCACAGAUUUAGUACAUUUUCUGGAUGUUGAGAUUCAUAUGCAGAGUGUUGAAGGAGCAGCAGGUUUCUUUAGCAGCCACUCUCUUCAAUCCUGGAUUGAUGCAUUUUUCAUUUUCCAAUGCAAUUUUACCUUUCUGUGCUGGCACUUCAGCAAAUCUGUAAUAUCUCCAAACCUAACAGAAGGGUUAGUUUGAAGUUUUCAUUUACGGGAGUAUUAAUGCCAGGCUCAUUUCCUUAACAGUCUGUUACAUGCUGUAGGCAAGGGUUGUGCUGUUUGAGAUGAACACAGCACAAACUGCUGUGCAGAUCUGCGCACUUCAAACACCUCAGUGGAAGCAAGAGGAGUGGCAUUGUUUCAGCCAUGGGUCAGAGCAGUGGGAAAAUGGCCAUCAAGAGUUAAGGAUUUAUUGGUAUAAUGAAGGGUAGAUUUUCUCCCUUCCCUGCCAAUCCCCUUUAAAGAAGUCUCCAAGCAUAAACAGAAAGGCUUGCUGUCCACCACCAUUUACUUUGUCACUUCUUUUCACAGAUUUCUGUGCUGCUUUUCCUCAUGUCUGCAGUUACUCCAUUUAUCCCUGUUUUUACAGUAUGACCCCAUGUGCAAUGCAUCUGUUCAUAGUUUUCUCCAUCCUUUCACUCUUCUAAACUUCACUAGAUUCCCCUAGAAAUCACCUUUUUGAUUUUAAGCUCCUGUCUACCUCUCAAGGCUUCUGGAUUUUUGUUACCUUCUUUCUACAGAGCAUCUUCAUUCUCACUGUAUAUCUUAAGCCCAGUUUCUUUAGCAGUUUCCUUUGUUGGACUUCGUACAUCUUGUCCCCAGUGUGUUGUCAUUUUGAGUCACAGAUGGAAGGCUGAGCUGCAAGGCUGCAGGAACCCUGGACUUCCACACAGAAGUGCUGCAGCCAAACACAGAUGUCCAAUUCUAGACCAGCUUGGCAACAUUCUGAUGUUAUUUAUGGGUCUGGAGAAAUAUUAUGUCCCCCAGGCACUUAAAUAGCUGGAUGCUGGAUCAAGUUUGAGUUAGCUAAUAACAGAUUUGCAUUGCUUUUUGCCCCUUAUGUAGCCAUGGUGACAGAUAGAGGUUUUGUCUGAAGGGCAGGAUGGCUCCAGAUGAGUUGGGCAGUUAGGCAUCAUUUGUGCAAAUUGUGAACUAUAUUUUUCCUAGAAGCACUGCUUAGUAUUUCUUACAUUGCUGUGUUCCGCAGUAAUAAUAUUGGAGCAUGAUUAUGAUACUCCAGUAAUAAGGAUUGGGGAGCUCUUUACUUAAUCCCACCACAUACUUUAGUUGUUUCUAACUUCAGUUUGCAUUCUACCUCCUAAAACCCAGGCUGACUCAGCCCUACCUUGCACAGAACUAGUCACACAGAGCUAGUAUGAAUGAUGUGAUCCCCCAUUUAAAUCUUCAAUCAAGUUUAACUAAAUAGGAUUACAAUUCACUGGCUAGACUAAUUUUAUGCUUUAAUUUCAGGAGUUAAAGAGAAUGGUGGGAAUUUUCAAAGAUCUCCUCACUUCUCUGAACUAAUUUUCCAGGUACCAACAGGAUCUCAAUGUAUCAGCUUGCUAAAGUUGCUGCUCCCAGAGAUUUUAAUGGUACCAGAUACAUUCCUUGAUGACUUCUGCUUGCUCCUUUUGUCCUGAAUUUAACAUUACUCUUUCAGAGCACAUUUUUGCAAUGAUAAAUAUGUGCUUUCUAUUUACACAAUCAUGGUCUUGCAAGUGGUAAGGGGCAGGGAUGUUCACUUGAAACAUUUCUUGCAGAAUAAACAUUGGCAGCGAAAGGUGAGGAUGAGAUUCUUAGUCCUUCAUUAGCACAGGUGUCCUGGAAAAGCACACUAAGAGCUCCAGAACUUAUGUAAAGCAUGAUUUUUGGAAGUAAAUGUAAGCUGUCACCUACCUAACAGGUUUAACAGCAGGAGAGGUGUCCUAGGGAAUGCUGCAGCCUUGCAGCAUUCAUUCAAAUUGGUGCUGUUGUCACAGGCAACAGACAAGUACCAAUGCUCACCUGAAAAAGACCUGUGCACUGAAUUAAACAUGGCCAUUGUGAGCUUCUCCAUGCCUGCCGUGACCUGCUGCUCCUGUGUGGACAGGAGGCACCUGAAAACAGCCAUCCCCAAAGCCUUUCCCUGCUGAAAGCCUUUGGGUUUUUUCCAACUGAUGGAAUUCCAUUUGCAUCUUGCUGGAGGUUCUUAUCUCAAUCUCUCUCCCUCCCACCCUGUAGUUAUAUGAAUUUAGUUACAUGUAGAGCUCCUGAUGAUCACCAAGGAAUGACCAAGAUCUGGGAGAUUAAACCUUUUUUUCUGGGGACUUUUUGCCCUGGGAGGACUGAUCUCUGUGUGAAGGGAAAUGUGUUAUUCUUCAAACUUGGAUUUCUCACUUGCUCUUUAGGUAGUGAACUGAGCACUGAUGGCCUUUCUCUUGCAGAGGAACAUCCUGUGUUGCAGCUUUGCUGCAGGACUUCAGCUCUUACACCAUGGUGUAUCUACAGUUCAGGACUAGGAGCAGAUGAGAAUGCAGCUAAGGUUGUACCUCAUACUUAUCUGAGAGAUUUCCGCAAGAGUCACUAGAUUUAAAGUUUUUCAGAAAAACAAGGAUAACAUUGUUAGAGUCAGUGCUGUGAGCAUAAAUUCUCAGCAAGCACUAAGUAAAUAUUAAAGGUAAAUUAAUUUAUGUAGCACUUUAAAUACUACAUAAAUUCAGCCUCAAAUGAAAGCCCCUACCCAAGGAUUUAGAAAGAACUUGUACAUUUUGGAUUGGGGAGGAAAAAAAAUCCCUCCGUUUUAAGUAAAGGGAACAGCUUGAAUCUGAAUGACUUAUUUACUCCUGUAUUCAUAUUGCACAUUAAAAUACUUACAUUAAAAUGUGUCAGUUUUCAAGAA